UACCGAGUUUUCAACUCCCAAACCCCUGUGAACAUACCUCGACGUUGCUUCGGCGGGACCGCCCCGGUCGCCCCUCGCGGGCGGACCGGAACCAGGCGCCCGCCGGAGGACCACAAACUCUUGUUUCCUAAUAGUGGCAAUACUCUGAGUAAAACAAAAAAAAUAAAUCAAAACUUUCAACAACGGAUCUCUUGGCUCUGGCAUCGAUGAAGAACGCAGCGAAAUGCGAUAAGUAAUGUGAAUUGCAGAAUUCAGUGAAUCAUCGAAUCUUUGAACGCACAUUGCGCCCGCCAGUAUUCUGGCGGGCAUGCCUGUUCGAGCGUCAUUUCAACCCUCAAGCCCCAGCGGCUUGGUGUUGGGGACCGGCCCCGCGCCGCCCCCGAAAUGCAGUGGCGACCUCGCCGCAGCCUCCCCUGCGUAGUAGCACAAACCUCGCACCGGAGCGCGGAGACGGUCACGCCGUAAAACGCCCAACUUUCUUAGAGUUGACCUCGGAUCAGGUAGGAAUACCCGCUGAACUUAAGCAUAUCAAUAAGCGGAGGAAAAGAAACCAACAGGGAUUGCCCCAGUAACGGCGAGUGAAGCGGCAACAGCUCAAAUUUGAAAUCUGGCCCCCAGGGCCCGAGUUGUAAUUUGCAGAGGAUGCUUUUGGCGCGGUGCCUUCCGAGUUCCCUGGAACGGGACGCCAUAGAGGGUGAGAGCCCCGUCUGGUCGGACACCAAGCCAGUGUAAAGCUCCUUCGACGAGUCGAGUAGUUUGGGAAUGCUGCUCUAAAUGGGAGGUAUAUGUCUUCUAAAGCUAAAUACC
rnacentral:rRNA from 1 species